GGGGCCGUAGCUCAGUUGGGAGAGCGCGACGUUCGCAAUGUCGAGGUCAGGGGUUCGAUUCCCCUCGGCUCCACC
rnacentral:tRNA from 1 species